GGGUUGCCGGGAGUAAAGCGGCGGACUGGUGAGUAAACGCGUGGGUGACUUACUUUAGGUUGGGGAUAGCCGCUAGAAAUAGCGGGUAAUACCGAAUAAGCUGCACUGGCUAUGGCUAGUGCAGGAAAGCGGCUUCGGCCGCGCCUUAAGAUGGGCCCGCGUCCCAUUAUGCUAGUUGGUAAGGUAAAGGCUUACCAAGGGUCUGAUGGGUAGCCGGCCUGAGAGGGUGAACGGCCACAUUGGGACUGAGAUACGGCCCAAACUCCUACGGGAGGCAGCAGCUAAGAAUAUUCCGCAAUGGACGAAAGUCUGACGGAGCGACGCCGCGUGGAUGAUGAAGGCCGAAAGGUUGUAAAAUCCUUUUGCCGCUGAAGAAUAAGUGUGGUAGGUAAUGACCACAUGAUGACGUUAGGCGGUGAAUAAG
rnacentral:rRNA from 1 species